rnacentral:rRNA from 1 species
GGCCGCGGUAUCCUGACCGUGCAAAGGUAGCAUAAUCAUUUGUUCCUUAAUUAGGGACUUGUAUGAAUGGCCCCACGAGGGUUUAACUGUCUCUUACUUUUAAUCAGUGAAAUUGACCUUCCCGUGAAGAGGCGGGAAUACAAAAAUAAGACGAGAAGACCCUAUGGAGCUUAAAUUAAUAUGUUCAACAGAAUUUAAUUAUAAUCCAACAGGAAUAAAAAUAUUCUAACUGAACAAUAAAUUUUGGUUGGGGUGACCUCGGAGUAUAACAUAACCUCCGAGCAAUUAAACCAAGACUUACCAGUCAAGGCCAUAUAACUUAUUGAUCCAAUCUUAUUGAUCAACGAAACAAGUUACCCUAGGGAUAACAGCGCAAUCCUAUUUAAGAGUUCAUAUCGACAAUAGGGUUUACGACCUCGAUGUUGGAUCAGGACACCCAAAUGGUGCAGCAGCU